UACAGAGGGAGCGAGCGUUGUUCGGAAUUACUGGGCGUAAAGGGCGCGUAGGCGGUGUGUCAAGUCAGGCGUGAAAGCCCCGGGCUCAACCUGGGAACAGCGCUUGAGACUGGCACGCUCGAGUUCGGGAGAGGAUGGUGGAAUUCCCAGUGUAGAGGUGAAAUUCGUAGAUAUUGGGAAGAACACCGAUGGCGAAGGCAGCCAUCUGGACCGACACUGACGCUGAGGCGCGAAAGCGUGGGGAGCAAACAGG
rnacentral:rRNA from 1 species